AUCUCAUGAAUAUUCAGGCCUGCGUUCGUUUUUUGACAGGUAGCCGUAAACGGAAGCGGAAAUUUCCGCUAGACUCUGGAAAAGCCUUUCUUCUUCUCUCCCGUUCAUUCUCCCGAAAAGGCCAUAAAGUCCACAUAGGGAAAAGCUCAUGGACUGAAGUCACUGUUAGCAAUUUGAGCAAUUCAGUCAACAACCAUUCCUGCAUCCUUUAUUUAUCAGGUCUAGGACAAAACGGCUAUCAUGACUCACUCAAUGCUGCGACGACAACUGAAAAAUCUUGUUCAGAACUUCUCUGAGGCAGAGGUCAAGGUUCGAGAAGCGACUUCUAAUGACCCCUGGGGGCCAUCGAGCUCCCAGAUGGCUGACAUCUCAGAUCUAACCUACAAUGUGGUGGCCUGUAACGAGAUUUUGGGCAUGCUCUGGAAGCGUCUCAAUGAUGACAAGAACUGGAGGCACGUGUACAAGGCUUUAACCCUUCUUGAAUAUCUGUUGAAAACGGGGUCUGAGCGCAUCCCUCAGCAGAGUGCGGAGAACAUUCACAUUUUCAAAGCACUUACAGAAUACCGCUUCACAGACAAGGAUGGAAAGGACCAGGGGGUGAAUGUGAGAGAAAAGGCUAAGAUAGUGUUGGUGCUGAUUGAGGAUGAGGAAAAGCGGAAAGAGGAGAGAGAUUUUGCUAUGAAGACAAAAGACAAGCUGACAAAGGCUCCUAGUGCGUCAUCCGCUACAGGACCAGAUAAAGAAAAAGCAGAGAUCCCGCCAUAUACAGGGCUUCCCUCCCUGGACAACAUCCCAUCGGUGGCUGACCUGACCGCCGCUAUGGCCAAGAAGAAGGAGGAGCAGAAACGUCUGGAGGCCGAGAGGAAAGAGGCAGAGAGACGGGCUAAAGAGUGUGACACAGAGCCAGAUCUUUGGGAAAAAGCAGCGACAGCAGCACCUUCAUCCAACUCGGACCCCUGGGGAGCCCCAUCUGAUGCAUCCAACGAAUCCGCCCCUGCUACCAACGACCCUUGGGGGCCACCGUCUGAUGAUUCAAAGGAAUCCAGUCUAGCUACCAAUGAUCCUUGGGGUGAAUCUGCUGAUGGGACGAACGGAUCUGCACCUGCAUCCAGUGAUCCAUGGGGAGGAGCUGCCAGUGCCAAUAAUGAUUCUUCACCUGCUUCCAGUGAUCCCUGGGGAGGAUCUACGAAUGUAGAGAAAAGUUCUCCACCUGCUGCGAAUGACCCAUGGGGCGACUCUGCUGGAUUUUCAGAGGAUAAAGCCCUGUCAGCAAACGAUCCCUGGGGGGUUUCAGCUGAAAUGGCGAAAGACUCUGAUGCAGCAGUGUCAGAUCCUUGGGGGGCACCUGCGGAUAGUAUACAGAAUUCAGCACCUGCAUCCUCUGACCCCUGGGGGGCGCCGUUAGAAGCACCAUCAGCUACAUCUGAUCCAUUUGGUGAUGGUUCAAAAGCAGAUGAUGACCCUUGGGGCACAACAGCAUCUUCACCCCCAACUGCGACUGACCCCUGGGGUACCCCAUCAGCCCCAACUGAUGACCUUUUCGGUGAUGGAGGCAGACCAGAUCCUUGGGGUAGUUCCUCUGAGAAUGGUACUUUUGGAACAGGUGACACUGCUGAUGAGACUAAAAAGCCAGCGUCCUUCCUCGGAGAAGGUGCUUCAUUGGUGGACUUGGACUCUCUUAUGUCAGUCAAGCCCAAACCUAAACAGCCCCCUCUCAACGCCAUCCCCACCCAAAAAGCCCCGGGUUUUUUGUCAGCUGCAGGCAUGACCAGGCCAUUGGGCGGCAGCAUAUCCAAUGCAGCCGGUUCUACAGCACAGCCUUCAAACCCAAAUUAUUUUAGUUUUAACUCCAUGACCCCCGGUUCAAAUGGCCUGUCCCUAAACCCAGCCUUCGGGGUUCCUGUCACCCAUAUGGCAUCUCCAACCCAGAAUACAAGCCAUUCAGCUUUGACUAUGUCCAACAUGGGCUUUUCCAUGGCUAGCCCUAGAAUGGUACAACCCAGCACUGCAGGUACUCUCACUGCCUCACAUGGAGGAGAUGAAUGUAACCUGGUUGUAGGCGAAGGGAGAGAGAGAUUUAAAUGGAAGAAUGGAAAGAGGCAGAAUCGAAGGAACAGAUGGACUUGGGCGGAUUAAGUGAAAUCUGGGUGGGGUUGUCAUAAACAUUCACUCGAGGUUGAGAAUGAAUAAAAGAAAAUACACAGUAAGAGAGAGUGGGGUUAUAAAAGUGAAACAGAGGUGAAGUGUCUUUACGGCUGGAGGUGUCUGGGGGGCUCUGGACAGACCAGGAGAGACAGAUGUACCUUUCUGCCAAAGAUUAACAGAGAUCAUGAAGGAUUACAAAAAAAUAGAUGUUGGUGAUUAAGACAUGGAAUAAGUACAAACCUCCCCGAAAAUUUUAAUCUCUCCAAGAAAGAGACCAGGUGAGAGAUGGGCAAAAUAAAAAAAAAGAACAAGGUUGUUCUUGAUAGACUGCAUGUCUUAAGACCAAUUUCAUCUCUGUGCUGAACAUGCAUACAAAGAACAUACAUCUGAGAGACACCUCUGAAUAUUCAGCAUGAACAUUUGUGAUGGUCAGCCUCAUCUCCAUUGACUUUGAGGAUGUAUUUGCCACAUUUGUUGGUCGUAGACCAAGGAAACAUGUUUAACACCUUCUGAGCCAUUUCUGCAUUUCACCAACUAAAUUUUUAUAUGGAAACCUAAGUAUCAGGUCCUGUCUGUAUCAUUCCACCAUGUUGGAGCAUUUGUCCCGCAGGAAUCGGUCGUUGCUGUCUCUCUCGCUGACCUCUCUGGCCCUAGCGCUCUCUGUUUUGGCCUUCUGUACCUCAUAC